GCAAGUCGAACGGUAACAUGAGAGCUUGCUCUUGAUGACGAGUGGCGCACGGGUGCGUAACGCGUAUGCAACCUACCUUUUACUGAGGGAUAGCCCAGAGAAAUUUGGAUUAAUACCUCAUAGUAUCAUAAAUGUUCAUGCAUUAAUGAUUAAAACUUCGGUGGUAAAAGAUGGGCAUGCGUAAGAUUAGCUAGUUGGUAAGGUAACGGCUUACCAAGGCGACGAUCUUUAGGGGGCCUGAGAGGGUGGUCCCCCACACUGGUACUGAGACACGGACCAGACUCCUACGGGAGGCAGCAGUGAGGAAUAUUGGUCAAUGGACGAAAGUCUGAACCAGCCAUGCCGCGUGAAGGAAGAAGGUGUUCUGCAUCGUAAACUUCUUUUAUAUAGGAAGAAACUUCUCUACGUGUAGAGAACUGACGGUACUAUAUGAAUAAGGACCGGCUAACUCCGUGCCAGCAGCCGCGGUAAUACGGAGGGUCCAAGCGUUAUCCGGAUUUAUUGGGUUUAAAGGGUCCGUAGGCGGAUUUUUAAGUCAGUGGUGAAAGCCUGCAGCUCAACUGCAGAACUGCCAUUGAUACUGGAAAUCUUGAGUGUAUUUGAAGUGGGCGGAAUGUGUCAUGUAGCGGUGAAAUGCAUAGAUAUGACAC
rnacentral:rRNA from 1 species